rnacentral:rRNA from 1 species
CAAUAGCGUAUAUUAAAGUUGUUGCAGUUAAAAAGCUCGUAGUUGGACCUUGGGCCUGGACGGGCGGUCCGCCUCACGGCGUGUACUGUCUUGCCGGGCCUUUCCUCUUGGUGAUCUGUUGUUUCGGCAGCAGGGAACCAGGACCUUUACUUUGAAAAAAUUAGAGUGUUCAAAGCAGGCUCGACGCCGGAAUAUAUUAGCAUGGAAUAAUAAAAUAGGGCGUGCGGUUCUAUUUUGUUGGUUUUUGGAAUCGCCGUAAUGAUUAAUAGGGACAGUCGGGGGCAUUAGUACUCACAUGCUAGAGGUGAAAUUCUUGGAUUUUGUGAAGACUAACUUCUGCGAAAGCAUUUGCCAAGGAUGUUUUCAUUAA